rnacentral:rRNA from 1 species
AACGGCCGUACCAUGCUGAAUAUACCGGUUCUCGUUAGAUCACCGAAGUCAAGCAUCAUUGGGCGCGAUCAGUACUUGGGUGGGUGACCACCUGGGGAACACCGCGUGCCGU